rnacentral:rRNA from 1 species
GGAAGUAAAAGUCGUAACAAGGUUUCCGUAGGUGAACCUGCGGAAGGAUCAUUACUGAUUUAGCGAACCGAGCAUUAGCGAGGUUUUGCGAUCAAUUUAUAUUUAAAACCCACUCUUUAAUGUAUAAAAUUUGUAUUAUGAUAAAUUAAAAGAUCACUUUCAACAACGGAUCUCUUGGCUCUCGCAUCGAUGAAGAACGUAGCGAAGUGCGAUAAGUAAUGUGAAUUGCAGUAUUCCGUGAAUCAUCGAAUCUUUGAACGCAUAUUGCACUUUCUGGUAUUCCGGAAAGUAUGCCUGUUUGAGGGUCAGUUAAAUAAAAAUCGGUGUUGUUGCUGCCUUUCGUGGUGACGCGUCGGAAUUGAGUUGUCUUACCUUCGGUUAAGUGACUUAAAAUUUUGUAUGAUUUUUGAACGUAUUUAAAUUUUAUUUGUACGUUUGAGAUAUCGAAUGUUUAUUAGGUUCGGUCAUUCUAAUGACCCGCGCCUAUAGUUUUUCAUUAAAUGACCUCAAAUCAGGUAAGAAUACCCGCUGAACUUGAGCAUAUCAAUAAGCGGAGGA